GACAGAGGUGGCAAGCGUUGCUCGGAUUCACUGGGCUUAAAGGGCGCGUAGGUGGUCUUGUAAGUCAAAGGUGGAAUUCCACAGCUUAACUGUGGAACUGCCUUUGAUACUGCAAGGCUUGAGUCAGGUAGAGGAGGGCGGAAUUCCCGGUGUAGCGGUGAAAUGCGUAGAUAUCGGGAGGAAGGCCGGUGGCGAAGGCGGCUACCUGGACAGGUAUCGACGCUGAGGCGCGAAAGUGUGGGGAGCAAACAGG
rnacentral:rRNA from 1 species